GUAAAGGUUUAUAGGCACAAAAGCCCAUUAAUUACAUUCUAUAAACAUACAUUUGGGUAUAUGAAGAAACAUAGACCUGAAAAUAUAAGAAGAGACAAAAAGUCAAUUCUCAAUCCUGAAUGCUAACUAAAGCAUUCAGAGAGAUAUUCAGGUCUACAAAAGAUGCACAGGGGAAGAUACAAAGAUGACAAGUGUGCACAUUGCUCCCUAGAGAACCAGCAGCAACUUAUCAGGUUUAUUUCAAUAAUGAUCCUUCCGCAGGUUCACCUACGGAAA
rnacentral:misc_RNA from 1 species